AACCUCCGCAAUGUGAGAAAUCGCGACGGGGGGAUCCCAAGUGCCAUUCUUAACGGGAUGGCUUUUCAUUAGUGUAAAAAGCUUUUGGAAUAAGAGCUGGGCAAGACCGGUGCCAGCCGCCGCGGUAACACCGGCAGCUCUAGUGGUAGCAAUUUUUAUUGGGCCUAAAGCGUCCGUAGCCGGUUUAAUAAGUCUCUGGUGAAAUCCUGUAGCUUAACUAUGGGAAUUGCUGGAGAUACUAUUAGACUUGAGACCGGGAGAGGUUAGAGGUACUCCCAGGGUAGAGGUGAAAUUCUGUAAUCCUGGGAGGACCGCCUGUUGCGAAGGCGUCUAACUGGAACGGUUCUGACGGUGAGGGACGAAAGUUAGGGGCGCGAACCGGAUUAGAUACCCGGGUAGUCCUAACUGUAAACGAUGCGGACUUGGUGUUGGGGUGGCUUUGAGCUGCUCCAGUGCCGAAGGGAAGCUGUUAAGUCCGCCGCCUGGGAAGUACGGUCGCAAGACUGAAACUUAAAGGAAGU
rnacentral:rRNA from 1 species